rnacentral:rRNA from 1 species
CCUACGGGUGACAGCAGUGAGGAAUAUUGGUCAAUGGCCGUAAGCCUGAACCAGCCAAGUCGCGUGAGGGAUGAAGGUUCUAUGGAUCGUAAACCUCUUUUGUAAGGGAAUAAAGAGCGGGACGUGUCCUGUUUCGUAAGUACCUUAUGAAUAAGCAUCGGCUAACUCCGUGCCAGCAGCCGCGGUAAUACGGAGGAUCCGAGCGUUAUCCGGAUUUAUUGGGUUUAAAGGGUGGGUAGGCGGGCUUUAAGGUAGGGGGGAAAAUCUGUGGGUGAACCCUAGAACUGCCGUUGAAACUGGGAGGCUCGAGUUGGUUAGAGGUAGGCGGAAUGCGCGGUGUAGCGGUGAAAUGCUUAGAUAUCACGCAGAACCCCGAUUGCGAAGGCAGCCUGCCAACCCAUGACUGACGCUGAUGCACGAAAGCGUGGGGAUCGAACAGGAUUAGAUACCCCAGUAGUC